rnacentral:ribozyme from 2 species
CCUGUAACUUUUCUAGGGUUACUGCCGGUCCCAAGCCCGGAUAAAGAAGGAGGGCUGG